CGGUAGACAUUUGAGAGGUUUGAGGUUAAAUGGAAACGUGGCUUUUUGUGUAGGUUUAAAGUGUAAUUGAAUGUGGUCUCGUGUUCGAGGCCCGCAGACGAUCGCCAACUGUUAAAGAUUAAAAUCUGGUGAUGGGAAAGAAGGAUAUCGCACGGGGAGAUCCGUGCGAGUAAGAAUUUGUCCGCCGAAAACUAUCCGCUAAACCUGUAAAACAAAUGAAGCGGUUAGAGUUACCUUUGUUAAGUUACUUGUAAAACAAAAAGCGGUUAGAGUUUAAUCUGGACAAUCCUCUCUGAACAAUCGCUCUCCGACGCUCAAAUCAAACAUCUUAGCGGACAAUUUGUAACUCAAAGUGAGAGAAUGAGUUAAGUUACCUUUGUUGGUGAGGCUAGGGCCUAUUUAUAGAGGUUGAGCGAGGAGGAUUGUUCUCGUAACUGUUGACUGCUUGGCGCGGAAAGAAUCUUCUAGAGGCGCGCACCGGAUCGAGCAACACACGCGCACCCACGUGUCCAGUCGAGAUGCGCUUUGGGCCAACUUGAUGUUAUGAGAACGCACGUGCAAGUUUAAUGGGAGCGCUUGACACUUGUUCCCUCGACAAGAUCAAUCACAAGAUGUUUGAGAUGUUGGAAUCCUUUCAUGGGUGAGAGGUGUACACAAAAACAAGGGGUCCAACUCAAU
rnacentral:lncRNA from 1 species